UACGUAGGUGGCAAGCGUUAUCCGGAAUUACUGGGUGUAAAGGGAGCGCAGGCGGGUCAGCAAGUCAGCGGUGAAAUGUAUGGGCUUAACCCAUGAACUGCCGUUGAAACUGUUGAUCUUGAGUGGAGUAGAGUCAGGCGGAAUUCCGAGUGUAGCGGUGAAAUGCGUAGAUAUUCGGAGGAACACUAGUGGCGAAGGCGGCCUGCUGGGCUCUAACUGACGCUGAGGCUCGAAAGUGUGGGGAGCAAAC
rnacentral:rRNA from 1 species